GGCACUUUGGCGGAGUGGUUAACGCGAUGCCCUGCUACCUAGUCAGGCAUUUCCCUCGGGAGCGUGUGUUCGAAUCACACAGGUGUCG
rnacentral:tRNA from 1 species